CAGCAGCCGCGGUAAUACGUAGGGCGCAAGCGUUAUCCGGAAUUAUUGGGCGUAAAGAGCUCGUAGGCGGUUUGUCGCGUCUGCCGUGAAAGUCCGGGGCUCAACCCCGGAUCUGCGGUGGGUACGGGCAGACUAGAGUGAUGUAGGGGAGACUGGAAUUCCUGGUGUAGCGGUGAAAUGCGCAGAUAUCAGGAGGAACACCGAUGGCGAAGGCAGGUCUCUGGGCAUUAACUGACGCUGAGGAGCGAAAGCAUGGGGAGCGAACAGGAUUAGAUACCCCUGUAGUCCCUGUCUCUUAUAC
rnacentral:rRNA from 1 species